CAUUAAAGAGUAAGGGUGCUCAGCGCCCGACCUCCAACCCUUUGUUGUUAAAACUACCUUGUUGCUUUGGCGGGACCGCUCGGUUCCGAGCCGCUGGGGAUUCGUCCCAGGCGAGUGCCCGCCAGAGUUAAACCAAACUCUUGUUAUUAAACCGGUCGUCUGAGUUAAAAUUUUGAAUAAAUCAAAACUUUCAACAACGGAUCUCUUGGUUCUCGCAUCGAUGAAGAACGCAGCGAAAUGCGAUAAGUAAUGUGAAUUGCAGAAUUCAGUGAAUCAUCGAAUCUUUGAACGCACAUUGCGCCCCUUGGUAUUCCGAGGGGCAUGCCUGUUCGAGCGUCAUUACACCACUCAAGCUAUGCUUGGUAUUGGGUGCCGUCCUUAGUUGGGCGCGCCUUAAAGACCUCGGCGAGGCCACUCCGGCUUUAGGCGUAGUAGAAUUUAUUCGAACGUCUGUCAAAGGAGAGGAACUCUGCCGAUUGAAACCUUUAUUUUUCUAGGUUGACCUCGGAUCAGGUAGGGAUACCC
rnacentral:rRNA from 1 species